CGCUGCAGGGCUGAGAACAACAACUCCAUGCUUUCAACACAUGACCGUCAUCAGCCUUCGCCAUUCUGCAUCUUUACGCUUACGAUGACGUUGCCGGUACCCGCAGAAGCGCAAAACAGUGAAGGCUAUGCAGCUCUCCUGACCCCAUUUUCGUCUUGAUCAACUCCUAGCUGCGCCCUUUCCUCUUCUAAUUCCAAAAAUUCCUCCCCCACACCCUACUCGCGCUUGUGUGUGCGCCGGCCCAUCCGCAGGAUGACAAAAAAUGUUUCAUUGUAGUGUGCGCUGAGCUGGACGCCUGCUGAGAAAUCGAACAUAUCGCAAAUCACUCCACUCUGAGGGCUGCCGAGUGCGCGUGAGGUGCUGCACUGUGGAUGGUGAGGGGAGGGGGGAUGGGCGCGGGAGCUGUGGUGGCAUGUCUACUUCGGCCCUGCAGUGCCGACGGCCGGCGCGCACUGCUUGCCCUGCUCGUGUGGCGCUGUUAUAAUCCCGUGCCGCGCAUCUGAUCUGUGAGCGGGACGAUUCAUGCACAGCGAAGAUGCGAGGGGCGCCGCCGGCCCUGUGUUGCGCGUACGCUGGAUGCACCGUGCUGUCAUGAUUUCAACAAUGCAAUGUAUCUCCGUUACCGGACACGGUCGCCGACGACAACCAUUGAUUCAAAUAACCAAGAUCUGCUAUGAGUCUGUGUGUGCGCAGUGCGCUGCAGCGUGUUUGCCCCUUGCUCCUCCCUGGUCCUCCCUACUGCCCCUUCCUCCUCCCCCACACCCUACUCGCGCUUGUGUGUGCGCCGGCCCAUCCGCAG
rnacentral:misc_RNA from 1 species